rnacentral:lncRNA from 1 species
AAGCCGUGACAGUUGAAAAGCUUUAGCAGGGAGCUGAAACAAAUGCAAUUGGAACAGAUUAUGCAUCUGAACCCAUGAUAUUUUGAUCAUUACAUUUGAGUUUCUAACAUCUGCAAAUGAUAGUUUUGUUUCGUCAUGGAAACCUUAUCCUUAACCCCAAGCUGCUGCAAAGGAAUUGAUGUCGUCAUGAAAUAUGGUGUGGCCCAAAUAAGCAGUGUUUUUGACGUAGAUGGUACUUUUGGCACAUGUGAGUAUGUGACUUUGUAAUCUGUUGUAGCUAUGCGAAAGCUCUGUUGGUUGGAGUUGUCUUCUCUUCUCAUCCCUUGUGUAUGGAGCUUGUGGUAGCCUAUUAAUUAGAAAACUGUUAUUUAACAAAUGCUAGUUUACUGAUGGGCCGCGGGUCACAGCUUGUCUUAUUUUGCCCUCGAUUGCAUCAGAUGAAGUUGUGGCUUGCUGCGAUAUUGAUGAUGUGGUAAUUUCUUUCUUCUGUAUGCUGCCUUUGGAUUUUCGUAUGGGAAGGUGCAGGUCCCAUCCACUGAACGGAGAACGCAACAGGAGGGCAGAGGGACUGGUGAUGGAACAUAUGAUUGUCAAAGUUUUGAUUCAGAACUACAAUUUUACGACUUGAAGAUGUACUAGUUUGAUUGGACUAAUUUUUUAGCAGGUAGAAUACUGUAUGAUUUUACGAUUCUGUUAUGAUUCUACAACUUGCAAUCUUAUUGAGAGAGGCGUCAAAUUAAAAGUUGGUUUUUGUGCUCAAAAUAUUCUACUCCUUCCGUUCCAAAUUACUAUUCGUUUUAACCUUUCUAGGUACAUAAUUUUUACUAUGCAUGUAGAUAUAUAUUAAUUUGAGACGGAAGGAGCAGGUGGCAUCCGAUUAAUGUUACAACACUAUCUACUGGGUCUGGGAGUAGCCAUGGCAUAUUACUGCUCCACUUCAACAAACAUGAAGUUCGCUGCAAAGCAACUACCAAAACUUAUGUCAGUGAAUUAUUCCAUUCCCUAUGAAUAACUUCAUCGUUUACCAAUAAACAGCUAUCCAUUUUAUUUCAGAAUGAAGGAGAUAACGUAUUUCUUGUAUGUCAUGCAGAUGUUUCCGCGUUGAGUGAUAUCAGAAAUAUAUUUAUGCCGUCCUGAAUUACUACUCGUUUUGACUUUUUUUAGAUACAUAAUAUUAUAUAUAUAUAUAUAUAUAUAUAUAUAUCAAACGUUUUGUAUCUACAAAAAUUAAAAUGAAUAAUAAUUGGGACGGAGGAAGUACUAACUAUGAACUCAACUAAUUUGUAACCUAAUAACUUUGACUUGUACGGGUCUACAUAAUUGAGUAUCUGCUCUUCACGUGUCGCGCGUCGUCAAAUCCCGAAGGGCUCCCAAAGAAAACCCGUGACACAUCCCCUGCUGCUUACAUUAACAUGAUCCGUUGAUUUCUCCACUGGGAUGUUUAUGUGUACGCUGGGGCGAAGGUACGGUGUGAUUAGAGGGUGCUAAUGCAUCCUAAAAAGUUAAAAAAUAAUGGUUAGUAUAAAUUUUCACCAUAUAUACAUCCUUCAUAACUAUACUCUAUGCACCUAUAAGGCAAGUGCACCCUCCUUCAAUUUGCUUAAACUUCACCACUGUGGGUACGGCAAGUACGGACCGUGAGGUCUCGGAGGACCGUUCCUAACGGACGUCCAGCUCGUCCAACUGCUUAAACAAGAAGAAAGAAAUGGCGCAACAUGAACGCAAUCGAUUAAUUAUUCACCAUAUACACAUCCCUCACAACUAUACUCUAUGCACCUGUAAGGCAAGUGCACCCUCCUUCAAUUUGCUUAAGCUUCACCGCUGUGGGUACGGCAAGUACGGAUCAUGAGGCCUCGGUUGAUGUGGGUACGGCAAGUAAGGCUCAUGAGGCCUCGGAGGACCAGUUCCUGACGGAUAUCCACCAGCAUGUCUGGAGCGCUCCUUUGCAGCUGGCUGCUGCUGCUCAGGCCUGGGAGGACCAGUUCCUGACGGAUAUCCACCAGCGUGUCUGGAGCGCUCCUUUGCAGCUGGCUGCUGCUGCUCGGGUGAGAGCAGCGGCGCUGCUGCAGGAGGCAGCGUGCAGCGGCAGCCGUUCGAACACGCUGCAGCUCGUCCAACUGCUUAAACAAGAAGAAAGAAAUGGCGCAACAUCAACGCAACCGAUUAAUUUUGUGCAUAAACCGUAUGUUGAUAAGAUUCUUUUCUAGGUGUUACGAACACACAUAUGAUUAUGGUUUUUCUAUUGAUAAAGCUCUACAUAUACUGUGUUUGUUAAUUUGUUAACGUGCACUCUAAUUAAGUUACACCCACGAGACUCCGUACACCGUACAUGUAUAACUGUGACACUACGUUAAAAACAAUUUUCACUGGCAGUUAAAAUCGAUGGAAUCCGCUAGCACCUCAUUAUCAGCACAAAUGAUGUGAGGAAACCCACCAGCAACUCACUGUCAGCCCUAUUUACGGAUGUCCAACCGUUCCAAUUAACGCUGGUCGGUGCUCGGCAGCCCACCAGUACAGAUAUUUAUUUUUGGGAUAAUAAAAAAACAGCCCCACCGGCCGCGGGAGCUCGCCCCACCGGCCGCCGCUCCCGCCGGCGCUCGCGCCUGCCCGCCGCCCGCCGCUCCCGCCGGCGCCCGCGCCCACCGGCCGCUCGCCGAUGCCGCGCCCCAUCGCCCGCCGCUCGCCGAGGCCGCGCCCGGUCGCCGCUCACCCGUCGCCCGCCGCUCCGGCGCCCGGGCCCGCCCCACCGGCCGCUGCUCCCGCCGGCGCCCACGCCCACCGGCCGCUCGCCGACGCCGCGCCCCGCCGCUUGGAGACUUGGGGGCGGACGGAUGGAGAAGAAGCGAGGAUGAGGAUGUCUAUUGGUGGAUAAGGGAUAGGUACGCUGGAGAGAUAAAGAUAAGGGAGAUGUAGGUGGUAUUUGCGCUGGCGACUAACGUACCCACCAGCACAGAUGUAUCCUAUUUGUAACGGGAGUGCUUAGUUAGUCCGUCAGUACAGAGCUAUUUGUGCUGAUGGGUACUAGCUUGGCGGGUGCUAAUUUCACUUGUCAGCAUGCUAUUUUCGACAUGCCAGCACAAAUCAUUUCUGACGUAGUGUGAGAAUUUUGUACAUGCAUGUACUCCCUCCGUCAUGAAAUAUAAGGCAUCCUAGAGAUUGUAGGACAUAUUAGUGGGAGUAGCAAAAGACACGUAUACCCUUAAAUUAUAUGUGGGAAGUUAUGUUGUCCAGCUUUUUUAAUGACAGUUGCAAUAAUCAAUUUACUAAUGCUAGUUUCCUCGAAAAAAAUAGUUAAUGCAAGUAGCAAAAGAAAAAGGGUUUGUGAAAAGAAAUCAGGCCGGGGUAGUGGGCACUUAACUAUAGUGUUCGCCACCAGUAUAGGGUUCGCCACGAGAAGGGCCCGCAGGCUUGUCACGUUCAAGAGAUCCGUAGCCGUAGGAGAUGCCACCACUGCCGUCGCCAAUGCAGAUCACAAAGUGCCAGAAAAUGAUACAGGCCACGAGCGACCUCGUCAUCCAAACUUGCCAAAUGCUUGGCGACAUGGAUGGGCGCGCGGGGCGAAUCGACUUAUGGUUUGCGAAUGCCAUUAGGGGUUUAAGAGGGAGAUAUAUGGUUGCGAUAGACAAGGGCACGAUUUGCUACCAGCCUUGCUCGGCUCUUAUGCAUACCCGCACCAAGGUGGAGUGUGGACGACUUUGACUGUCUCGCAAGGUGAUCACAUAUUCCCAUUAGGUCCGUCAGGUCUUGUGCGAGUCCACUCCUUGCCACCACGCGCGGAAAAAAGAUGGAACAAGUGGAGCAUGAUAAGGGUAACGAUGGAUUGCCACGAUGUCUCUCGAAGGUGCUUGGAUGUAGAGUUGCUACCCUAUUUAUAGGGAUGAAUGCAUGCGUGUAUGUAAACGUCUGAAAAAGGCUAACAUUAGUUCAUACCAUAAUGAAAACUACAGCAUGCGGAAAAAUCUCCCAAUCCCCACGAGCGUGGCUAAGUCAACAUUGCGUGUAGAAAUUUUUAAAAGUAAGCUACGACGUUAUUACAAGUGAAUUAGAUAUGAUGAGAUAUUGUUUUGGUGCUGCAACUAGGCCUCCCUACGCGCACCGCGGGCCAAGAAUCACUCCGUAGUGGUGGAAUCUUGAUCGAUGUGCUAUGUUCCACUAUGGCAUGCCGCUUCUUGACCGGAAUCAUAUUGACACAUCGAUGCAUUAUUCUUUAUUGUGUUUGUAAUUAGUUAUUAGCAGUAGCUCUAUUCCAAAGGCCUAUCAAACAAUACCCCUCAGCUAGCUAUAAAAUUGGAAAUUUGGAACCUUAGUUUGUCCUAAUUAAGUCACACUAUGAAAAUAUAUUUCAAAACAAAUCUAAUUAUACUCAUUUGAUAUUGUAAAUAUACUAUCAUUUCUUUUCUACAAGUAGUAUUGCAUCUAACUAAACAAUAUUGUUCAAAUUCAUAAUAAUAUAUAGUUUUGUUUCACAAUGGCUGUCGUGAUAACUAGUAGAGAGAGCUUUCCUGAAGACUACCCCACCCACACCAUAGUGCAAAAAUAAGUCACGCCACCAUUCCAUUAUCGUGCAAAAAGAGGUCAUACUUUGAAAUAGUGAACUGGGGCAACGAUAUUUUCGAAGCUCAUCGAACUUUUGACUAAUAACGAGUCUACUUGGACAUAUCUCGAGUUCGUAAACAUACUGCUUUCAGACUUUAGCAUAUGUAUGGAAUGCUAUGUAUGCAAAUUCAAAAAUUAAUCUUUUAGCAUCACAGAAUCUAUGUACACAGAGUGCAACAUAAGCACAACAGAAAUGAGUCCAUCUAAAAAAAUGAAGAUACUGAAGGCCACACCAAUCAGGAUUUGCAUCGCUAUAACUGCAGGGUAUCCAUUACACUUACAGUGGCAUCACCGUAGCCAUAAAGUUUCAAAACAACGUUCAAGAAUGUAUUUUGGACCAUGCCCAUAUACACCCCGUUCGUUACAAAUUUUAAGUAAUUUUAGCCUUUCUAGAUGUAUAAUUUUUAUCAUAUAUUUAAACAUUUACAUAUAGCUAGAUACAUAAGUAAAAACUAUGUACCAGUAAAGCCAAAACGAUUUUUUAUUUUGAACACAGAGAGUAUAUAUUGCCGUGUAUGGACCAUAUGCCGAUGUUUGACUACUGUGUCACAGGGAUAGGCAUAGGAGUGGGUUCGAAUGCAAAACCCACACAUUGGUCCAUGAAAUGCUUAAAACGACCUGUAAUUUGCGGAUUCGCGGACUUACCCAUUUGAUUUGCAGAAAUAAGCACAACCUAUUCUCUUCUGAAUUUUCCUGCUUGGGGGACGGUGAGCCAGCUCUAUAAAUUCAUGUACCAUAGCCUCAUAAGCACCACAACUCAAGUUUGCAAUUGAAGUACGAGAAAACAGCACCAGCUCUGUAAUCCACCCUGGCGAAUAGAUGGCAUCUGAGUAUGCUAGCGCCCCUGGUUCCCCUAUGCUUGUGGCCAUCUUGCUCGCAUGUCUAUCCUGCUUCCUCUCAAUUGCAUCUUCUUCAGCUCCCACUGCACCACUUCACAAUACAUCUGACACUGAUCUCCAGGCCCUGCUUUGCCUCAAGCUCCACCUCUCUGACAGCACCGGAGCCAUGGCUUCAUGGAAAAAUGAUUCAGUGCAGUACUGCAGCUGGCCUGGUGUCACCUGCAGCAAGAGGCACGCAUCUCGUGUAGUCUCCCUGGCUCUCGAUUCAGCUGGCCUCCAUGGUCAGAUACCUCCUUGUAUUGGCAAUCUCACUUUUCUUAGGUCUAUUCACCUUCAGAAUAAUAAAUUGAAUGGGAAAAUUCCACCUGAACUUGGGCACCUGAAUCACCUCACCUAUUUGAACCUCAGCAACAACAGCCUCACAGGCAUGAUACCAAAUACUCUGUCUUCCUGCUCCCGCCUUCAUAUCAUUAAUCUCGCAAACAAUUUCCUUGAUGGUGAGAUCCCCACAAGUCUCAGCGAAUGUUCAGAACUUCAGAAGAUCUACCUGUUCAAUAACAAAUUAUCUGGAAUCAUCCCAGACGGGUUAGGUACACUCUCCAACCUAUCAGUUUUAUUUCUCGCCAACAACGAUCUAACUGGCGGUGUUCCUCUUUCACUCGGGAGCAAUUCAUUUAUCAGGACUGUCAUUCUCACAAACAACACGCUAACCGGAGGCAUCCCACCUCUCCUUGCAAACAGUUCAUCACUUCAAUUGCUAGAUCUAACAAACAAUCAUCUCAUUGGGGAGAUUCCUUCUGCUCUUUUUAAUAGCUCAUCAAUUGUAAUAUUAGCCCUUGGGGUUAAUAACUUCGUUGGAUCUAUCCCGCCACUUGUGCAUACCUCGUCACCACUAGAGAUUCUAAUCCUAUCAGAAAACAAUCUCUCAGGUAGCAUACCUACCUCUCUAGGAAACUUUUCCUCUCUGACAUGGCUUUUGCUUUCGCAGAACAGCAUCAAAGGAGCCAUUCCAUCGAGUUUAAGCAUUAUUCCUACAAUAGAACAAUUAGACCUGAGUUUCAACAACCUGUCGGGGACUGUUCCAGCUUCUCUUUACAACAUAACAACGCUAACAUACCUUAACAUGGGCAUGAAUAGCCUCACUGGGGAAAUUCCAAAUAACAUAGGACAUACCCUACCAAAUAUUCAAACACUGAUUUUGCAAGGAAAUAAACUUAGAGGUCAAAUCCCCGCAUCCCUAGCCCUCGCAGCAAAUAUUCAAGUGAUAAAUCUCCGUGACAAUGCAUUCAGUGGAAUUGUUCCCUCCUUUAGGAACCUUCCCUACCUGACUGAACUGAAUCUAGGGAUAAAUCAACUCGAAGCCGGAGAUUGGUCUUUCUUAUCCUCAUUGAGAAAUUGCGACCAGUUGGUUUACCUAUGCCUAGACAGGAACAUCCUUAAAGGAACACUACCAAGUUCCAUUGGGGACCUUCCAAGGAGUUUACAAGUAUUAUUGUUAACAGCAAAUAAAAUAUCUGGAGCCAUACCACAGGAGAUUGAGCAACUCAAAAACCUUACACUUCUUUACAUGGAACAUAAUUUACUUGCUGGAAAUCUACCAGACUCAAUUGGAAACCUUCCAAACUUGUUUGUCCUUAGCUUAUACCAAAACAAACUUUCUGGACAAGUACCUCUGUCCAUUGGUAAUCUCAGUCAACUCAGUGAGCUUAACUUACAAGAAAAUAAUUUCAGUGGUUCAAUCCCAAAAGCUUUAGGAUACUGCAAACAUUUGGAAGCACUGAACCUCUCCCAUAAUAGCUUCAGUGGUAGCAUACCGAAGGAGCUCUUUACUCUUUCCUCGCUUGCGGAAGGUUUUGAUUUGUCUCACAACAAACUGUCUGGAGAAAUACCACUGGAGAUUGCCGGCUUGGUAAACCUCGAGUCCCUGAAUAUUUCCUAUAACCAGUUGAGUGGAAUAAUCCCCUCCACUCUGGGACAUUGCAUGCACUUGGAGUCCAUCCACAUGGAAGGGAACCUUCUACAUGGGACAAUCCCUGAAUCUUUCACUAACUUAAGAGGCGUCAGUGAGAUGGAUCUUUCUCUCAAUAAUCUGUCUGGUGAAAUCCCUGAAUUCUUUGAGUCCUUCACAUCUAUGAAGCUUCUGAAUUUGUCAUUCAACAACCUUGAGGGACCAGUACCAACAGGUGGGAUAUUUCAGAACACAGGAGUGGUGUUUAUUCAAGGUAAUAAGUUGCUAUGCGCCAGCAUCCCUUUGCUACAGCUGCCACAAUGCAAUACAGAGGCAUCCAAAAAAUGGCGAGCCUCUGCUAUUCUGAAGAUAGUAGGAUUUACUGCUCUUGCUUUGGUCUUGCUAUCAUGGUUUGCCGUUGUUCUUUUGAAGAAGAGAAAGAAAGUUACACAAUCAUCUCAUCCAUCCUGCAAGGAGUUGAUGCAGUGCUCAUACGCUGAUUUAGUCAAAGCUACAAAUGGUUUCUCCUUAGCCAACUUGGUUGGCUCAGGAAAAUCUGGAUCAGUCUACAAAGGUAGAUUUGAGUUUGAAGAACAUACAGUUGCAAUCAAGGUUUUCAAACUUGAUCAACUUGGCAUACCAAAGAGCUUCAUUGCUGAGUGUGAGACAUUGAGGAACACUCGCCAUCGUAAUCUUCUAAGGGUGAUAACUGCAUGCUCAACAUUUGAUACAAUAGGAAAUGAGUUCAAAGCUCUCAUUCUUGAAUAUAUGCCUAAUGGUAGCCUAGAGGGCUGGCUCUAUCCUAAUCUGGACAAGUAUGGAUUGAAAAGAACAUUGAGUUUGGGCUCCAGAAUAACAAUAGUCACGGACAUAGCUUCUGCUUUGGAUUAUCUGCACAAUCAUUGUGUGCCCCCUGUGGUCCAUUGUGAUUUAAAGCCCAGCAAUAUCCUUCUUGAUGAUGUCAUGGGUGCACGUCUUGCUGACUUCGGGUUAGCUAAGUUUAUUCUUAGCUUUAGUCAUUCAUGCCAUCAUAGUUCUACAAGCUUAUUGGGACCAAGAGGAUCAAUUGGAUACAUUGCACCAGGUGAAAACGUUUCCUACAAAAACUGGAGAUUUUAAAUAUCACAACCGUUUUGUCUAUUUUUGAUUAUUCAUGUUUUACAUUUCCACUAUUUGACAAUGUUCUUUUAUUUUUUUUUGUCGGUAUUAAGAGAUAAAAAAUUGUUUGACCAAUUACACAUAUAUUACAGAGUACGGCUUCGGGAGCAAACUCUCAACUGAAGGCGAUGUCUACAGCUAUGGAAUUAUCAUCUUAGAAAUUCUCACAGGGAAGCGUCCAACAGAUGAGAUGUUUACUAAUGGUUUGAACCUUCACAAGUAUGUGGAAAAGGCAUUCCCUCAAAAGAUUGCUGAAGUUCUAGAUCCUUGUAUUGUCCCAAGUUCUGAAGAUGGUGAUGCGGACAACAUUUUGGACCAUGGAAAUAAUGCAACAGAUGGGGUGGAUAUCUGCAUCUUGCAUCUCGUUAAACUCGGUCUUUUGUGCUCUAUGGAGACACCAAAUGAUCGACCAACAAUGCAGGAUGUUUAUGCUGAAGCAAUUACAAUCAAAGAAGCAUUUGCAGUGCUACAUGGUUGAGCAAAAAGUACUGUUAUUUCUGUUGUUCACAUACUAGUAGAGCAUAAUGGGCUUAAGAAUCAUUUACUUUGUGGUUGUGGGUCAGGUCUUCCAUUUCGCUACUGUGUUUGUGUUUGUCAUGUAUCAGAACUAUUAACCAAGUAAUGAAAUAAAGUUCGCCAUAGGAACUACAUUACCUUUAUUUUUGUUACAUUGUCUAAUUGAUGCAAGUUCCGUAAUAGCAUUCUACUACUUUGACACCCAGUUGAGCGCAACAAUGUAGAAACUAGUCAGAAUCGUGCAAGGCCAAAUUAUUGGAAUUGAGAGUCAGGCAGUAGAAAUGUCUCCGAUAAAUAUUUUUGAUGAAAUAUGGAUUUCUCCUCGGUAAAAAAAUGGGAGGAUAAUUAGGUCUCUAUACUUUGUAAUAACGAGGAAAAAAUAAUUUUUUUAAUCGUUAUAGUUUAUACAAAAUAGGGUCAAGAGUGCCUGCUAGACGUACCUCUUGCUUCAAUCAACGGGGAAAGGUCUGAUUCUCAGUUCAAGUGUCCAACAUAAAACCAUAGACCAAAUUGCCAAUUUUACUAAUUAUUUAGAUAAGAGUAAUAGGCCCAAACAAUCGAUAAGCCACGGAAUUGAAGAAUGCAAAAUUCCACAGGGAGAGGGCUCGUGAACUGCAAGAAGGGAGGUGACUUACUGGCCACAUGGCACCCAGUCCGGCGGCCGGUGCUAAUCGUGUGCGCGAGGUUCUAAAAAAAUGGUCACAAGCAGGAGCAAGGCACCUAGUCAGUUUAGAAUGGCCGCUACCGGUUGGUGUGCAGCAGCAUAUCUGAUGAGCGUUUGACGUCUUUUAUUUUCUUUUCUUUCUCUCGGCUGCUGGUUUCUCUCGUGUUGUAACAACUUUGUUAUUUUCUUCUAAAUCGAAAGAUACGUAGUUCUACAGCGUAUUAAAAAAAAGAGGUUCCUAAAAAAUCCUCAUCUGGUUUAUCAACUUCGUGCCUUCGUUCCGCAGGUCGUUGGCUCCCAGAACCAGGGACCCAAGGCGGGGGGUAGCAAUGUAGGACGCGCCGCCAAGGCUCCAACGACAGCUGCAGCACCUCCGUCCUCCGCCCGACGGCCUGCGCCGCCGCUCGCCGCUGCCUCGCUGGCUCGUUGGCGUUGCAGCCGUUGUGGGCCGGCGAUGUGCGGAGGAGUCUUUUGAGUGGUGGUGAUGUUUUUCGGCCCUAGGGAAUAAAUGGGCAUUGAAGGGCCUUCUAUGGGCUUUAGCGUGCACCAAGGUCGAAUUGACUUCUGACAUUUAGUUUGUAUUUAUUUCAAUGUAUCUGUCUGCAUUUUUUUUACAAGUUAUUAUCUGCAUUGACAGUGACCAUGAGCUUCCUCUUGCUCACCUUCCUGGUCGCUGCAUUCUCAGUCACACGCAGCUGCGACGCUGCCACUGCCCAGUGUAGGAUUUGAUUUGAGCUCAUUAUUCUAAUGAAUGUGCGUUGCAAUUCAAAAGUUUCAGUAGCGGUGCUCAUCUGUAUCUGUUUCUCUUGAGACAAACAAUGUCCAGAAAUGCUUUACAUAAGGCAUUACAAAGGAAAACGCCGGUUAUAUAACUGUUGAUACAAAAAAUCGGACAGUGGUCCCGACUCCUGCGUCGGACACACGACUCGGGAGAAUCUGUUUAGUUUUUGUUCGGGUUAUCGUCCUGGUGCGGUUCGCGCGGCGUGCCAGUCAAUCUGACCUGUUGAUUGAUAAGGAAGAAAAGAUGUCAAAUUCCAGAGAUUUGAUCGGCUGAGGUUCCGAUCUACUCCAAAAGAUGUAUCAGCGGAUUGACCAAUUUAAUGUAAAGAUGACCGGCUAUAAAACAGCCGAUAAUCACGUAGCAAAUGUAAAACAAACUACUAGAGUAACCUAAACAAUGCUACAGAGACAACACUUGGAAUAGAUCUAAUCGGCUGUAUGAUGAUAAACAAUGUAUUGAUAUAGCCGACAGUUCGUGCCUCAAGCUGGAUAACUGGUGAUAAAAACUAAAAUAACAGGCAAAACCUAUAAUUCUAGCAAAUAUCGAUAACUAGUGAAUAAAUCUAAACGAAACAACAGCAAUGCGCCCGAAGUUAAAGCUUAGAUAUUACUCGAAACGUGGAACUUACAAAUUGGCCGGAGGUCGCGUUGAUGCAGCCCUGCCAAUUCGCACGAACUCGUGAAAAGAAAAGGGUUUGGCGAAGUCGCCAACUUGAAAGUAAAGUUGCGUGAAAAAGUAGAUUUGUAUUGAUGAUUGUUGGUUGUUUUACAAGCCUCACAAGGCACCUAUUUAUACCCUAUUACAACUGAUUUUCUAACCGACUAUGAUUUUAUCUUUUAUUCAAAGUAACAAAUAUUUACAUACGGAUACAUCUCGCAUUGGAGUCGAACACCAAUCAAUCCUUUAUGGGCCAACCCUGUCUUCAUCUUGUUACCACCUUGGCCCAUUCAGACCCAUAUCGGCCAAGCUGUUCUAGCUUCCGUCGGCUAAUUGGCCGAAACACUGUAGCUCUAUCGGCCAAUUUACCUAGCCACAGCCCCUUGUUUAACCGUGUCGGCCACUUUCUUCUCCUCUUGACGCCGAUCCUGACACGUGUCAAAAACCGGCGUCAACACAUGCCCCCCCCCCAGUUUCGGAGUGAAACAUAUCUUUUGCUCCGAAAUUUUCUCAACCCUGAUUCCUUCCUCCGGAAGAGACGCAACACUAAAUGCAGGAAAACCCUCUUUGCUCCCGAAAUUUUCUCCUUGAUGAUUGCAUUUGUUCGAAUAGAGCGCCCGCAGGCAACCGCUCCUUUCGAAAUUAGCACAGACGGCGUGGUAAAAAUUCCAUAUUUACCCUUCUCUCGAGCCAUCCCCCAGAUACUCAUCUCUUCCGCCGCUUCUUCUUCCUCCGGGCGAAAAGGGUUUCCUUUUCGGCGAAUUGUCUCCCAACGCACUCCAGUGCCCCUGCUCAUGCCGCCUCCAGGCGCAUCCCAGUGCACUCCGGUGACUUACUUAUGUUCUUCGUCGAUCGCACCGGCUCCCAAGUUUCAAUAGCGGCACCCACAGCUACCAUGGCCUUCGUUCCUGAGGUAAAUCUUCUGGGCUUUCCUCAUCUUUUCACGAUUUCUGGAUCUAUUUUUAGUCUUUUUUCGCACUUGCUUAGGAACUCAGGCAGAGAAUUACCAUCCCCAUGGCCGACACCCCCGGACUCAUCAGUCUUAGCCCUAUGGGAGAUCCUGACCCAACCGAUCUGAUUAGCCUGGAAACUCAUUGGAUUCCAUUUAAACAAUCAACCAUGGAUUUGGACAUUUGGACGAACACCUUCAAGUCUUGGCCGAAUCAAACCCCCGGAUGGAGAGAUUGGUUUUUUAGAAUGUCAGAUUCCAACAGAGUCGUCUGGGAUGAGCGAAAAAUUGGUCAUUGCAUAAAUCUGUCCUUAUCUCACAUGGAGAAGAAUGAAUCUUUGCUCAUCGCGUCGUCUUACUUCUAAUCCGACGCUCUUAAUGCGUUCCUUUUCGGCCAUGGACCAAUGUCUCCAACCUUGGCCAAUGUCCUGAUGCUGACCGGCCUCGAUAUUUCCUCCGCCGAUUCGCCUUUCGAUUUCUUAAUCAAACCUAUUCAUCUGCUGGAGACAAAAGCCAUCGGCGGAUGGAAAGACUUUAUUGAGAAGAACAUGAGGACUGGACCCAUUACGGAGAAGGAGCACACGGCCUUCUUGUUGGCAAAUCGGCCGGUCCUACUUCCAACACACAAGUUUUGGCCGAAGCACUAGUUAGAGGCGCCGCAGUCCCUUUGGGAAAGCACCUGCUAGGAUCAGUGUACUACAUGUUUCAUCAUGUCGUCGUACAGCUGUCAUCUGGGGAACCCAUCGGGAACCCUGAUAGUCCCUGGUGGUUUAUCAAUCUCUGGCUUAACUUAUACAUGAGCAAAGUCUUCAAGAAGCGGAUUGAGACCAAGACUUUCCCUAAUGUCGAAUCAGAGACUGACCCAUCGGCAAGACGCCGCUGCACCUCCUUCGGUGAAGCUGUAUCUUCUUUCCCAGGCAGCAAGCUCGCUCCCUCAAGAAUAGCCGAGCACUUCAUAUGCUUUUAUAACGGCUUCAGAGAAGAAGUGACGAACUGGUAUCCGUAUCAAAGAGAAGAUCCAACUUUUGAGAAUCCUGACUGCUUUAACUCAGGUACCAACACUUUUGAUGAGAGAAUCAUGGACAUCUUGAUUAAACCUAGGAUUCUGCCGGUGAACUUCUUUUUUGGGAAAGAUUCCCCAACAUACGAGUUCUACAACCCGUCAAUAGCGGCUAGACAAUUUGGCUUGGGACAAAUGCCAAUCGGAGUUCACUUUGUCGGCCGAGUGAAAUUUGGAGAACCGGUUUCAAGAGGACUGGAAUACAACAGACUAUGCAAUCUGACACCGGAUUCCAACACCAUUAAUCUGAGCACUUGGCUGGUUGUCCCCUUCUCUACUCAGCAAUUCAAAUUAUGGUGGGCCGAGUGGAAACAACACCUUUUUUGUGCGGCCCCUACGGUGUAUUGCAAUCAACUGGACCCCGCUCAUGCUGAUCCGAAUGCAGAGGUAACAAUACUUUUUUUCUGUCGAUUCCUUACUUUCAUUCUUUCAUGCCGCGGAACUUUUUCAUCACUGUCCUUUCUUCUUUGUGCGGGUCGAUAGCCAAGUGCCUCCAGCGCACAGUCGAAGCGACAGGCUGAUAGAGAUCCAUCAUCCGUACAAGUCGUACCCUCUUAUCGGCUAUCAUGCCCCAUCAAUGGAAGACAUAGCCACCGGCCGAUUAAAGCACAAGCUCAAAAUGUCUACCAUAAAGAAAACAAGUCGCAGGGUACGAGCUCUUACUGAAUCGGCGACAACUCGGACAACCCACCAAUCGACAGCAACGUCGACCGAGCCCUCAGCCGCACCAAUCCAAGCAGAUGUCUUGCCGACAAUUCAGGACAUUGAUCCCCUGGCAGCAUCAGAAGUUGGGUCGACGGUUGCAUCUCUCCUGGUGGAGGCCAUACAGGUAAUCUUACUAGUCUAACUUCUUCAUAUGUAUUACCAAUACUAAAUCUGUCCCUUCUUAACAGGCCGCACAACAUAUCCCGGAGCAGACUGUUCCUCAAUCGGCCGAUCCCCGAGCCGAAACUGUGCCAUCAGCAAAUCUUCAAAUUGAGGUAAAGAACAUACUCUUCACUUAAUCUCCAUAACUAUUUCAACUAAAAUCGGUUGAUUCUUGGCACAGGAUGCUCCAGACACAUCGAUCGUUCCCCUUGAGCGACUAUCAACAGAGGUGAGAAAACCAAGACUCACACUUAGAUCUAGUAUUCUUUUAUACUCACAAAUGCUUCCCUUUCCCUUCUCCAGGAGGCUGGUCCAAGCACACUACCGGCUACUACUAGAGAGCCGAUUAUUGUCGAAUCUUCUCCCUCUGAUGAACUACCUCCGCCGAUUCCUUAGACGGGAGCAGCAAUUCUACCAACCCAGGCAGAAGAGAUUCGUUUUAAUGAGGUAAGAACCUUCUAUCUUUACCAGCCGAUUCCUUACUUCUGUCGGCUAAAAUGUUUUCCGACAUCUCUGUCGGAGCAGAAUACACCAAACAACAGCCUCUUCUCUUUUGCAGUUGCGGUCUCUGAUGAUGAAGAAGUCGCAUCGCGCCAGAUAACUCUGAGCUCAAUACUAGAAGAUGUCCAUGCCAAGCUCCAAAACAUGCGAACCCUUCUUCAGGAAAACGUUGGCCGAUUGGUGGAAGAUGCCGAACCGAUACGGCAGAUUUUCAACGAGAUCAAAGGCCAAGUCCCAGAAGACGCAGAAGAGGCUCUCACACCCGCAGCAUACAUCGAAACCAUGUGGGUUCUAGUGUUUAGAGCCUUGCGACACAUGGCCAACCGUGCUAAACUGGAGAAGGUGUGUCAAGAAGAAGAAUCUUACAAGCACCAUGCACAAGAGGUACACCAGCGGAUCGGCAUGCUCGAUACCUCCCGUCCGAGCAUCUUCAAUGUAAUAGACUGGCUCAAACGGCUCAGAGCAGAACUUGCCAAAGAGAUGGAACAAGUCGUGAAAGCUAUCGCUACCGAAGAAAAGAAGCUCGAAGAUCUUCCAACUGUCAUCGCUGAUUUGAAACAAGAAAGACAAUCCCUCACUCAUGAGGCCAUCCAUCUCUAUUGUAAUGUGCCGGAAGUCCCAGAAUCGGCCGAUGACAAUCGGUGAGUAUUGGAUGCAGCCGACCAGGUUCGCCUGCAAGCAAUCGAGGCCAUAAACAACCUCCUCAGAUAGUUGUACUAAACUCAAACAACCUUUGAAUAUCUUGUAUAACGUUGAUACUUUUGGCAUGUCUAUCUUGAAUGCAAAUCUGAACGUUUCGCCCGCAGCUUUUUGACCCAACGGUUACUUUCUUUAAAUGCCCUCCUUUUACUAACCGUUGUCCAUCACCAUUUUGUCCUAUAAAUAUGAAUUCCUCACAUCCCUUCCGAAGGCACUCACACAACACCCAUUAACUCGUUCCCUGUACACACUUCCAAGUCUUCGAUCGGGCGACCAAGAUGGCUUCAUCCUCUUCUGUCAAUCAGGUACAAAGUUAACUCUCUCCCUUUUCGAUUGAUUUUUCUGUCAAUUAACCAUCCAUUACUCUCGCAGCCAAACCGGUUCAGCCCGGUCUUGAAUGAGCCAUCGAGAUCAUGCACUCCGAUGAACCGCUCACUCAGGCUGACAAAGAUCUGAUCCAAAAUCAUCGUGAGGAACUCAGAGAUCACCUUCCCACGAAUAUCAAGAGGAUUGUAGACGACAUCGAGACCAAAGCCUCUAAAAGGCAAACUUGGCAACCAGUUGAAAGGAGCCAUCAACUGCCUCGUCAAGUUGCCCUUGAAGACGAUAUGGUAGAAGUGGAGGAGAAGAACGCCCGUCUUCAGAUCUAAUUGGAUCGACUUCAGAAAGAGAUUGACAUGAAUAAAGCUCAACUGAAAUGCCGUUGAAUCAUUGUAACUUAUGAUUGUGUUGGUACUUUUUUAUCUGAGGGCGACUUGUACUAUGUCGGCCAUGUAUCCAGUUGAUGUACCGAAUAAUGAUCGGUUUAUUCAUAUAAAUCCUUCCUCGUCUCCUUCAACCUUAAGGCGAUGCCCCUUGCAUCGGCUAUAUGAACAUGACUCAGAAAGCGUCGGCCGUGAAAGCCUGAUAUGCCACAUUAUUGGCUAAGCGUCUACCAAUAUACUAGGGUAGUAUCUAGUAUUUUUCAUUUUGUAUGUGUUAAUUUAAAUGAUCUAUGGGCGUGAAUUUCCAUUUUUUUUUUGUUAUGGAACGUGUAAAUUGGAAGAUAUAUAAGCCCUUCUGCUAGGUUAUGUGCUGAUGUAACAUAUGCAAGUGCACAUGGUACAAUAGUUCUUAUUACAUGAUGGACAGUUGGAAUCAGCUACCUUGAAUAUGACCCAAUGUGCAAUGUGUUCAUGUGAUGUGGUUUGAUAUGAAUCCUGGCUUGAGAGAACCAAGAUGCAUUUGACCAACAAUUACUCUAUUACUCUUAAAAAAAUGCUUUCUUAUGAGUAUACUUUUGUACCACAAAUGAAAUAUUAAUAGAGUAAAUCUUGGACAAAGCCUUUUCCUUAAUGAAAUGAAAUACGCCCUACAAUUUCAAAUGGAGGGGAGUAUCUUUUUCUCUCCAUGUGCUUUAGUAAUUCCCAUGUUUCCAUAAUUUUUAUCUGGGGAAGCUUGUCAAGAUUCUGUACUGUCCAUUUUAUUGUGAGGACUUUUUGUUGAAACAAUAUUAGGAUUUUUUUUCAAGAACAUGAUGCAUGUGUCAGCUUUUAUUUCCUUCAGUUACAUAUCAUUUUCCGCUACUGACGCUCUUGUUUUUUUUGUGACAUGUAGGAUGUUAAUAGUGUAGCUGCAGAACAUUCAAGAGGCAGUGGACCUGUUGCUGAUGGAGUUGGUUCCUCAAAACAAACUCUGGCAAGUGUUCUUUUGUCUAGUUGAACAUCCAAUCCCAACUAAUCAAGAGUUCCAGGGGACUUGCUCAGAGUACUUACAGAUUCUAUACUGAAAGUCCCUAAGCACAGCUGCCGUUUCUCCUCUGUAUAUAGUGCUGUCUUGUACACUAGUCACUAACCAAAGCGUUUUUCUCUGGUUAUUAUUGUUUGCAGCCUAAUGAUGCAAGUCCAAUGGCCGUAGACGAACCAGGUGCUCAGAAAGUUGAAACAGAGAGCUCAAACAAAUUGCAGGACCAACCAACGAUGCACCAGAAGCCAUGAUCGGGCACCUUAACUUAGUACCUGAUGCCAUUGCAUCUGUAGCCUGUAGAUUCUUUUUGUUCAAGUUCGUUGACCGUAGACAAGCCGUGACAGUUGAAAAGCUUUAGCAGGGAGCGGAAACAAAUGCAAUUGGAACAGAUUAUGCAUCUGAACCCAUGAUAUUUUGAUUAUUACAUUUGAGUUUCUAACAUCUGCAAAUGAUAGUUUAUUUUCGUCAUGGAAACCUUAUCCUUAACCCCAAGCUGCUGCAAAGGAAUUGAUGUCGUCAUGAAAUAUGGUGUGGCCCAAAUAAGCAGUG